rnacentral:SRP_RNA from 1 species
AGCUUCAGAAGUCGGCCAGGUGCCGCCUGCAGCAGGGGCAGGAAGCCUUUACGGUGGUGCAAG